rnacentral:rRNA from 2 species
UGAGAGGGCGACCGGCCACACUGGGACUGAGACACGGCCCAGACUCCUACGGGAGGCAGCAGUGGGGAAUAUUGCACAAUGGGCGAAAGCCUGAUGCAGCGACGCCGCGUGAGGGAUGACGGCCUUCGGGUUGUAAACCUCUUUCAGCAGGGAAGAAGCCGCAAGGUGACGGUACCUGCAGAAGAAGCACCGGCUAACUACGUGCCAGCAGCCGCGGUAAUACGUAGGGUGCGAGCAUUGUCCGGAAUUAUUGGGCGUAAAGAGCUCGUAGGCGGCCUGUCGCGUCGGAUGUGAAAGCCCGGGGCUUAACCCCGGGUCUGCAUUCGAUACGGGCAGGCUAGAGUUCGGUAGGGGAGACUGGAAUUCCUGGUGUAGCGGUGAAAUGCGCAGAUAUCAGGAGGAACACCGGUGGCGAAGGCGGGUCUCUGGGCCGAUACUGACGCUGAGGAGCGAAAGCGUGGGGAGCGAACAGGAUUAGAUACCCUGGUAGUCCACGCCGUAAACGUUGGGAACUAGGUGUGGGCGACAUUCCACGUUGUCCGUGCCGCAGCUAACGCAUUAAGUUCCCCGCCU